AAGGGCUGUCAGGGGUUAACCCCGUAAAUGAACAGCUGAGAGCGGUGAUUUAGUCUGUAUAAAAGCAGUCCAACUGUCAUAACAAAGAAGCUUUGACAGCAGGCCAAUCGGAGACAAUGAGGAGUCAUUGGUCCCCUGGAGGCCUCCAGAGACCCCUUUGGACACAUAUACCACACACAUAUACACACACAGACAAUGGGUAGUCAGCAGCAGUCUCUCAGAGGUCUUGUGAGGGUCCAGGGGCUAGACUGAGCUCAGUUGAAAAGAGCCAAGAGGCGUCCAUGACAAAGCCCGGUAGGCGUCAGAGGCCUGUGUACCCCUUCCCUGGUACUCGGAACCUGACUGAGAUUGAUGUAAAGAUGUAACAUAGAAAUACACACUGAUCUUGUUUGUUCUGAAUUAAAAAAUAUAGCUUAGCUUUCAUUAUGGCUUAUUAGAUCAAUUUAUUCUUAAUAAAAUUGCAGUGCCUUGCAAAAGCAUUCAUACCCAUUGACCUUUUUAACAUUUUGUCACAUUACAACCACAACUGUGUUUUUGGGGGAUUUCAUAUGAUAGAACAACACAAUAUAGGACAUAAUGGAUAUAGCUCUGCCAGUAUGUUUCGGUUCAAUGUUCGCUGGAAGGUAACCCUCCGUUCCAGUCUCAAAUCUUUUUCAGGCUUUAACAGGUUUUCUUCCAGGACUGCCCUGAAUUUAGUUCUGUCCAUCUGUCCAUCAGUUCUGACAAGUUUCUAUGUCUGAAGAGAGGUAUUUCCACAGCAUAAUGUUGUCACCACCAUGUAAUGAGCAGUAUUAGUUUUCUGCCAAGCAGCAUAUUUUUGACUGUAGGCCAGGACCAAGUUUGCUUUUGGUCUCAUCUGACCAGUGCAUCUUCUUCCAAAGUUUUGCCUAAUCCCCUACAUGAUCUUUGGCUACGUUUGUUCCACGAAGGCUAGAUUUGUAAAGUGAAUAACAAAUGUUGCAGUUAGAUUCUCCUAUCUCAGCUGUUGAUCUCUGCAGCUCCUCCAGAGUGACCAUCAGGAUCUUGGCUUCUUCUCUGGUUAAUGCUGUCCUCACCUGGAUUGUCAGCUUAGAUGGAAUCCAUGUACAACAGCUUUUUGUUGGAUCUACAGUCAAACAAAGGUGCGACAGGCAGGUGCAGCUGCACAGGUGUUCUUCAUCUGGAGCAAUCAAAGAGGAGCUUCAAAUACUGCUGAGACCUUGGAGGAGGCAUCAGAUUGUUGAUUCAAUUUGAGUGGUUCCUGUCAGCUGACCCCUGCUCAGGAUUACCUACAAGGUUCUGUGUCACUUCCCGCUGGCUGACUGCAAGCCCUCGUCCUCGAUAACCCGCCGUGGUUCCGCCUCCUAACAAGUUGGUAAAUACUUCAAUGAAUUUACCACAGCCCAAGGAUCUCCCUGGAUCCACUGGACCAGAUCAAAUAUUCAUUCCUCGCUCUACGUGCCCUGCCUGUUCACAAGGCCUUACACCAACUGGAGAAACCUGCUCACGCCACACACCAACCUGCCAACCUCAGCCUCUGUGGUUUGCUCACUCCUCCCCAGCCUCAACGUAAUAACCAAAAGUGAGCUGAUUCCAGAAACAUGAAGGCUACGGAGUCCUGUUCCUGCCAGAAAACUCCAUCUCAAUAAACCUGCUAAAACCAAUUUUGUUUCUGAGUUGUGCUGCACAAAAUUACAAUAAAGAAAGGCUUGGAAUAUA